GGGGGAGUAGCUCAAUUGGUAGAGCGCGGGCUUUGCAAGCCUGAGGUCGCGGGUUCGACUCCCGUCUCCUCCA
rnacentral:tRNA from 1 species